AUUGAACGCUGGCGGCAUGCUUUACACAUGCAAGUCGAACGGCAGCGCGGGCUUCGGCCUGGCGGCGAGUGGCGAACGGGGGAGUAAUGCAUCGGAACGUGCCCAGUAGGGGGGGAUAGCCCGGCGAAAGCCGGAGUAAUACCGCAGACGACCUGAGGGUGAAAGCGGGGGACCGAAAGGCCUCGCGCUAUUGGAGCGGCCGAUGUCGGAUUAGCUAGUUGGUGGGGUAAAGGCUUACCAAGGCGACGAUCCGUAGCUGGUCUGAGAGGACGCCCAGCCACACUGGGACUGAGACACGGCCCAGACUCCUACGGGAGGCAGCAGUGGGGAAUUUUGGACAAUGGGGGCAACCCUGAUCCAGCCAUGCCGCGUGCGGGAAGACGGCCUUCGGGUUGUAAACCGCUUUUGUUCGGGAAGAAAUCCUCUGGGCUAAUACCCCGGGGGGAUGACGGUACCGGAAGAAUAAGCACCGGCUAACUACGUG
rnacentral:rRNA from 1 species